CACGCCAAGGCAAGGCAUCCAUUGGAUCAUCAACAAACUAAAUCAUUCAUGGUCUUCGAUGGUUUACUUUGCUGCGUAAAGAAUACUGCUGCUGUCAGUUGUAUUGGAUUGGAUCCUUGGUGACGACUACUGGUUCAGACGGUUUACUUUCCUGGUUAAGAAGUGUCGGUUGUAUUUUUUAUCCUUGUUCUCAUGUCUAGUUGUCUACUAGUACUACUACAGUUGAGACAGUGUGCUUUCCUGGAAAAACAAGUGUCGGUGAGGGUGUGAUGCUUCUUGAGAUGUUUUAAUGGCCAUUCAUGGCGUGUAGCGUGCUUAUGUUAUUGCUCAUUAAUUGCACUACUAGUUGUGUGGUCUUUUAAUAUUCGACCGACCACUCGACUUUCUAUUUCUAUCUUUGCUUUAAUAGUUUGAACACUGGAGGGUCCCGAAGGAGCAUAAGUUUCAUUAGGUCCUGUUUGGUUCAUAAGGCUGGUCAUAGUGGGGAGUAACUUAGACUAGUAACAUACAUAUGUUACUAGUCUAUGUUACUACCUUUAUAGUGGGUAGUGUCAUAGGUGUGGUAACAUAGUUGCCUUCAUUUAUUACUUUGUAGACUCAUUAUGCAUUGGAAACCGCUAUGUGAUGGUAACAUAUUAUGUUACUCUAUUUGCCUCUCUCCUCAUUAACUACUUGCCACAUCAUCAUUUUUGCUUAUGUGGCAUCUAUGUUACUAUCUAUGUUACUCCCACUAUGACCAGCCUAAGUCCUAAGACUUUUUUAGGCUAGCAUAGUGGGGGUAACUUAGGUAGUAACUUAACACAUCCCAAGACAAAUUUGCUUAUGUGGCAAGUAUUUAAUGAUGAAAGAGGUGCUUGUGGUAACAUAAUAUGUUACUGUAACAUAGCGCUUCCCGAGGCAAAUGAGUCUAUAAGCUAAUAAAUAAAGCAAUUUAUGAUACUAGUAUUAUGUUACUUUGCACUACGGAGGUAGUAACUUAGACUAGUGUCAUAUGCAUGACAUUAUUAUAAGUUACUCCCCACUAUGACCAGCCUUAGUCCCAACUUAUAAGUCCCAAGUCCCUAAAAAGUCCCUACCUGUUUGGUUACUGGGACUUAUAAGUCUCUAUAAGACCAUAUUAUAACUAUAAGUCACUAUAAGUUCCUCCUUGAGAGUCUUAUUUCAUAAGUUCCAAAUGCCCACUUUAAGUCCCCAUAAAUCCCUCCUGUUUGAUUUAGAUGGGACUUAUAGGGACUUAUUUAAGUUUCUAGACCAAUAAUCCCUGAAAACAAACACCCUUUUAAUCUCCUGCUUAAAAAAAAUGACGGAAACGUUACUCCUAGCAAAAGAAUUGAACACGUCAGGAUUGGUCAUGCUUGCUGAAGGGAAUUGCCAGGCUCGUGACACAUAAAAAGUUGAUUUGUCAUGUUUAAAAAUCCAAGAUUUAUAUCGUUGUUAAAAAGGGAUGCGUUUAACGAGUGGCCGUUGGCUUACUAGUAAUCCGGAAUGGUUGGCCAGCCUUAAAAAGUGUUGGUCCCCUCUACUACUAACUCAUAUUAGGAAAAGUACCCAUAUAAACAGGUGUGAACACAUUUAAUUUAUAUUUCAUUCUUUUAAAGAUGUGUAUAGUGAGUGGCCGUUGGCUCGACUACUUGUCGGAGUAAUCGACCACGGGUACCCCGAGGACAGCAAAACAAUAUUUUAAGACAUCGGAGCUAGCAAAGCCCAUCAGUCCGACUGUCCGGCAGCUCCUGCCGGCUUCCCGUCCGAUUGCUCUGCCCGGCCGACUGCCGGCUGCCGACUGCAGCCCGACCCGACACCGACAAGACACCGACGAAACGGCCAUACCUCCGAUGAGACGAGCGUACCCGAGCACUAUUCACGUGUCAUCUCAGCCAUCAUGUAUAGUAUCACUUAUCCCCUGACACUAUUUAUGAAGUGACCCAGGGGACAAGGAUGACAUGCACCAUGCCUUACCCAUGCCCACUACCAAGCUUACAUCCUAAGCUACCUUCUCCUAUAUAAAGGGGCAUCCAUCCAUCCGUCCGGGGGAUGGACUCUCACGCGCACACACACACAAGAACUAGCUAGCAAGCUAGCUAGCUAUCCAUCCAUCCAUCCAUCCACAUGAGCACACAUGCUCACGGCCAUGAGCAUGGCCGGCCACUAGCAUGCCUCAUAUAGGCAUAUACAAAGCCAGAUGCCUAUGGCACUGAUCUCAGAUACAACUCCAGAAGCACUCUCUACAGAUAUAUCAGAUAUACUCAGACAUGCAGCAGUAGGAGUAUUAUCUCUCCGGAGAGCUCCGAAGCUGGGUAAACCAUCGCGUGCUACUCGCAUACCCGCUCCCGGUCCUAUCAACAGCAGUCUUACCCACAAACUAAGCCCUUGUGGCAUUUGUCGACUCGCAAGCUUCCCGUGAGAAAUACCACGACAGUUGGCGCCCACCGUGGGGCGGUACUAUGCUACCACGCUGCUGCUGGUUUCGCUGUCCGGGCGGGACCAUCUUCGUCUUCACCGCCGCGGCGUCGCGCCGUCUCUCCGGUAGCGCUCGGGGGCUCGACUUCGACCCGCCCCCAGAGCGGUCGCACGGGACGGCGCGUCCUCGUCGUCGGCCUUGCCGCCUUCGUCAUCACCACCGGUGCGACGCCGGCCGUUCGUUCGCGUGCGCGCCGCGCCGCCUCGCUUUGGUCGGCCGCGUCCAUCCACGCGCCGCUCGCAUCCGCUCCUUUCCACGCCGCGUCUAGCUCCGACCGGAACGAGCGUUCGCUACUCCAUAUAUCAUCUACGCUAGCUAGCUAGAUGCAAGUCAACCAUAGUCAUACACCACUCAAAACACUUCCCUGAUGCAAGCCAGACUAUGGCCAUAUACUAGUUAGAUUAUGGCCAUACGUGCCUUGCACCCGCAUCAGAUAACAUUCAGACCACGCCCAGACAAUGGCGCGGGUUUGCUGCUACUAUUGCCCGCUGCAUGCUUGCUCCUGCAACCGCUGAAGCCCGCGGGCACCGCGGCCGAUCGCGCCGGCGCUCCCGCCGUCCGCGCGCCUGCACCCCUUCUCUGCACUCGCGCGCGAGCCCCAUAGCCUGCUGCUGCUGCUCCCCGUCGCCCCGUGGGUUUCGGUCGCCCCCGCAGCGCUGCUCCGUCCACAGCGUCCCGUCGCUCCUGCAUCGCCGCCACCAAGCGCCCCCACGCGCGGGCGCGCGCUGCCUCGUCGCAUAGACGUCGCCCUACUGGCCCCGCGCGCGCCUCCCCUUCCUCCUUCGCGCCCGUCCGCGCCGGACUACCACAGCCGUCCGUCCCCGCACCGGCUGGUUCUGGGCCCCUGCCGGCUGCUGGGUGCUCCGCACCAGCCGGCUUCGGGCCCUCUCCGGCUCGCCUCCGCCCCGUUGGUCCGCUGCCGGCUGGGCUCCGGCGCUCGCCGCGUGCGCCUCUAUCCGGGUUGCCGCUGCCGCCUUCCNNNNNNNNNNNNNNNNNNNNNNNNNNNNNNNNNNNNNNNNNNNNNNNNNNNNNNNNNNNNNNNNNNNNNNNNNNNNNNNNNNNNNNNNNNNNNNNNNNNNNNNNNNNNNNNNNNNNNNNNNNNNNNNNNNNNNNNNNNNNNNNNNNNNNNNNNNNNNNNNNNNNNNNNNNNNNNNNNNNNNNNNNNNNNNNNNNNNNNNNNNNNNNNNNNNNNNNNNNNNNNNNNNNNNNNNNNNNNNNNNNNNNNNNNNNNNNNNNNNNNNNNNNNNNNNNNNNNNNNNNNNNNNNNNNNNNNNNNNNNNNNNNNNNNNNNNNNNNNNNNNNNNNNNNNNNNNNNNNNNNNNNNNNNNNNNNNNNNNNNNNNNNNNNNNNNNNNNNNNNNNNNNNNNNNNNNNNNNNNNNNNNNNNNNNNNNNNNNNNNNNNNNNNNNNNNNNNNNNNNNNNNNNNNNNNNNNNNNNNNNNNNNNNNNNNNNNNNNNNNNNNNNNNNNNNNNNNNNNNNNNNNNNNNNNNNNNNNNNNNNNNNNNNNNNNNNNNNNNNNNNNNNNNNNNNNNNNNNNNNNGCCUGCGUCGGGCCGGCUCCGCAUCGCCGCCGCACCUGCAGUCGCGCGCCCGCGGGACUCGAGUCGCCCCGCCGGCUCCGCGCGCGCCCGGUCGGCCUGCUCCCGCGCUAGCUCGCUCCCCCGCAACCCGGCCGGCCGGCUCCCACGCUGGUUGGCUUCCACCCGCGACCCGGCCGCCGGUUUGCGCCGUGUCCGGCUCCUGCCUGCUGCUCAUGCAAAGAGAGAAAGAAAGUAAGUGAUGCCGACUGAAAAAAGAAAAUUCAGGCCGACUGCUCCUCGCGAGAAAGAAAAAGAGAGAAAAGAAAGGGUCGGCUGGAUCAACACAGUGCGCCGGCUGCGUUCGAGAAAAAUGGGGCCGGCUGCCUGAGGUGCGGCUGAAAUGUCAAGGGCCGAUUGCCCACAGCCGGCUUGGUGAAAAAAAAGGGAGGAGCUGACUGCGCAGACUACAGUCCAGCCGACUGCUUUGGUCAACAGCCCGUGUUGCCGCUCGGCCAGCUGUUUCAUCUGCCCGCUUCGCUGCCUGGCCGACCGACGAGCUGGUCCGGCUGCGCGUAGCCGGCUGACGAGAAAAAGAGAUGAAGACAAAGUAGUUGCCGGAAGAUCCGGCCCGACUGCUCAGCAGUCGACCCGAAUCUCGGGGGCUACACCCAGCAGGUGCACUGACGCGCCCCCGCGAGAAAGAAGACAAAGUAGUUGCCGGAAGAUCCGGCCCGACUGCUCAGCAGUCGGCCCGAAUCUCGGGGGCUACACCCAGCGGGUGCGCUGACGCGCCCCCGCAAGAGAGAGAAGACAAAGUAGUUGCCGGGAGAUCCGGCCCGACUGCUCAGCAGUCGGCCCGAAUCUUGGGGGCUACACCCAGCAGGUGCGCUGGCGCGCCCCCGCGAAGAUUGCAGACAAGAGAAAAAUUUUGUCCGGCUCCGAACAGCCGGCAGAAGAGAAAAAGAAGAAGAUAGGUGCUGCAAGACGCCUGGCCGGUCGAGCCUGACCGGCCGGGACCCCCCUUCGAGCACCCGGAGGCUCGAAGGCUUCACCCUUUAGAUAACCCGCAACGACCGCGACUACACGAAAAUCAAUGUGAGCUCCUCGCCCGCAUAUUUUUGCAUCACGCAAGCACGGAUAACCCCGAGCGAUGCUCGGGUGCUAUCUCCACAUUUUUUAUGACAGUAGCAUCACUGUUCGCCCCGGCACCAGCCAGAGUUGGCCCGGGGGCUGCCCGCUUGGCCUGAGACGUUAGUUCCCGUAGACGGCUUAGUACCGUGCGCGGUACCAAAGGCCCACUCUCAGUCACAGACCGCAGAGCGGCUGUCUGACUAGCAAGAGUGAACGCUGGAGGUCACCCACGCGAAAAAACGUCCGGGAAGAAAAACGGAUCAGGCGAUCCGGCCGUUUCCUUUACAAGUAUCUACUCGGUUGAAUCUGCUCCUAGACUCUGAGUACUGUACACUCCACUUCGCGGCCCACUCUUAGGCACAGACCGCAGAGCGGCUGUCCGGCAAGCAAGAGCACAAACCAAAAAGCAGAGGGAACACGAAAAAGAUUAAGGGGGCUCGGACGAAACCGAGUCGGCACCCUCCGCAUAAAACUUGCAAUGCUAAAAGCAAACAUUCUAUAUAUCUGCAUGGACUAACUUUGUCUUUUUUCUUGAUAAUUUCCAUGAACACUCGCCAAAAAACCUCCGCCCAACUUUGCCAAGUUGCCCGGAGGCUUGGGGGCUACUGUCGGAGUAAUCGACCACGGGUACCCCGAGGACGGCAAGACAAUAUUUCAAGACAUCGGGGCUAGAAAAGCCCCUCAGUCCGACUGUCUGGCCGCUCCUGCCGGCUUCCCGUCCGAUUGCUCUACCCGGCCGACUGCUGGCUGCCGACUGCGCCAACCAGCCGGCUGCCGACUGCGCCAACCAGCCGGCUGCCUACUGCAGCCCGACCCGACACCGACAAGACACCGACGAGACGGCCAUACCUCCGACGAGACGAGCGUACCCGAGCACUAUUCACGUGUCAUCUCAGCCAUCAUGUAUAGUGUCACUUGUCCCCUGGCACUAUUUAUGAAGUGACCCAGGGGACAAGGAUGACAUGCACCAUGCUUUACCCAUGCCCACUACCAAGCUUACAUCCUAAGCUACCCUCUCCUAUAUAAAGGGGCAUCCAUCCGGGGGAUGGACUCUCACGCACACACACACACAAGAACUAGCUAGCAAGCUAGCUAGCUAUCCAUCCAUCCAUCCACAUGAGCACACAUGCUCAUAGCCAUGAGCAUGGCCGGCCACUAGCAUGCCUCAUAUAGGCAUAUACAAAGCCAGAUGCCUAUGGCACCGAUCUCAGAUACAGCUCCAGGAGCACUCUGUACAGAUAUACCAGAUAUACUCAGACAUGUAGCAGUAGGAGUAUUAUCUCUCUGGAGAGCUCCGAAGCGGGGUAAACCACCGCGUGCUACUCGCAUACCCGCUCCCGGUCCUAUCAGCAGCAGUCUUACCCACACACUAAGCCCUUGUGGCAUCUGUCGACUCGCAAGCCCCCCGUGAGAAAUACCACGACACUACUAAUCCGGAGUGGCUGGGUGUUGGUCCCCCCAAUCCAUACUAGGAAAAAUAUCUAUGUGAAUAAGUGUGAACACACUUAAUUCAUAUUGGUCGUUGUAUCGCUAGUACUAGAAAAAAAAUAUCCAUGUGGACAGGUGUGAACGCAUUUAAUUUAUAUUUUAUUUUUUCUAAAAGGAUGUGUCUGGUGAGUGCUUAUUGGCUCGCUAGUAAUCCGGAGUGUUUGACCAGAUUUGAAAAGUGUUGGUCCACUAAUUCAUAUUACUAGGAAAAGCAAUCCAUUGCAUUGAACAAGUAUGAAUACAUUUAUUUCAUAUUUUUAAUUUUUUAAAGUCAUAAGUUUUGAAUUGAAACCGAAAUUAAAAUCCGUUUUCACUGCUGGAAUUCUCUCGACAUGCUCUUCGAAACUAUAUCCCAUUGGGUAUGUUUCGAUGAAUUUUGUGUGUGUAAUUUAGUCCCUAUUAGGUGGGAUGCAGAGGAAGAGCACACGGUGAUGACGCCCACCACAAUCUAAGCCAAUCCUCAUUUGUUUGAGGAUAGUGCAACUUUACAUUAAAUUGACAGCAAUUUCACAAUACAACGCUUUGUGUAUAUGCCAAUAGUAAAGAGCUGUCCACACCCAUUCAAUUUACUAGACAGUGCAUUUAAUUGACGCAGUGUCUGACAAAGUGGUGCAAAUUUUCAAUGGAGAGUUAUUGAAAAUAAAGGAAUGUGAACAUGCCAGGCAACUUACAGUGAAAAGGUAAAAUGGUAAAAGGUAAAAUAAAAGAUGCAGCUACAAAGACUUGGUACAAAUAACGUCUGAUUAAGUGUACAUAUAAAAUUACAUGAUCAAGGUUGAAUGGUUGAUAAUACAGAUUAACUAAUACAAACCAUAAAUAUGUCCAAAAUACCAUAUCUCCAGCAAAAGCACUAUUUCUUCCACUCGUACUAAACUACACGACAUAAUAUGUACUCCCUCCAUUUUUAUAUACAAAGCCACUAUAAAAAUAACAAUUUGCAGAUAUACAAGGCCAUUAACACUAAUCGAUGCAAUAUUAAUGGUGUUUGCCUCGGAGUACUAGCAAAGGAGGACAUUAACUAUCUUUUGCAUGCAUGGGGGAGUGGGAGCAUUGGCUUGAUGUGCAUGAAAGAGAAGAAUACACAUUAAUUUACAUGGCAAACAAGGAGAUAAGCUAGCUUGCAACAUUGACUUAGAAGACAUUAACUUUUGCCUUAGUACCUGUAAUAUGGGUUUAUGGCCUUGUAUACAAAAAUGGAGGGAGUACUAGGAAUGCAUACUCAAUUUGACCAUGCAUGCAUUGAUAUAACUGUGUGGCCCCAUGUCAAGCAUUGAUUGCCAACAAGUUGGAUUGUCUGUGUCAGGCAUUUACUAUAUUGAUAAUACUACGAUGAUUAAUUGUACUUUUAUGUCUUUAGUCUCUAGAGUUAGUAUCAUUAGAUUCUCAAUUAUUUUAGAAGAGGAUAAUUUGGAGAUUAAUAUAAUAAGAUUUCCUGGCAUUAUUAUCGCGAAGUUCUUGGGUUUUCAUCAAAGAUGAAAAAUAACAUAAAAUAUCAUUAUAACUAUCUCAUAAAAUCUUGGUUUUCCUAGAAAUAAAUAAUACUAUGGAAUUUGUAACAUGAAACUUUGAGGAAUUAGUACCACCUUGAAAAUAUCAUUUUAUUAAUUGAAAAUCAUAACAAUCAUGAAACCCAUCGUUUACUUUAAGGAAAGUUUUAGGUUGAAAUGAUAUAUUUUCCUUACAAAUUGGAACAACGGGUCGCAUUUAAGUUUUGAUGGGUGGUUGGGGAGUGGCCGCUGGAGAUGAUGGGUCUGCUUCUCUGCUACUGGUUAGGUCACUAUAGCUGUGUGAUUUAUACGAAAAUAUUUAGAGGGACAUACAUGAUGUGUGACUCAUGGAAUACAUCCCGACUAAUAUAGUGGUUGGGAUUCCGAUGCAAAUGAGUGGGGGAGAUUCCGGUGAACGUGGUCACCGUGUGCUCCCCUGCAAUUUCGCUAUUAGGUGCAAGUAUCUAGCAAUUGAUGUGGAACUAUCUAGCAGUCAAUGUGCAACUUUUUCCUAUGCCCGUGGAUGUGUAGUUUUCACAUAAGGUCGUGGUUGUAGUUGCUCUCUGCGCCAAUUGACACAACGAGUCAUCUAGUAAAUAUAAAUGACAAUACAAACCUAUGGACUCCAAAGACAUAAAAUUACAAAUCAAUCCCUUGUUUCUGCAUGGAGGUUGGGCCUGUGCAGCAGGCAUCCGCCAGCUCCAAUAACUAAUAACAAAAGAGAAGAGGGUGGACUCCAAACCAUUGCAACACUACCUUCACAUAGUCUUCCAAGCCGGGAUGAAGAAUAUGAGCUCGCGCCGAUGCAGAGACGUCCCCUCCAUGAGGCCGCCUUCGGCCAACAGAGUUUUUGACAACAAUGUCAACGAUGAUGAACUUCUCUCCGAAUGCCAGAUCCUGGUGAUCCACUUGUUCUCCUUGAUGCCUCCACCACCAUGGUGGUGGCCGGCAUAGAGAACUGAGUAGUGCAAACCUCCAGCUCGGGGACAAGGAGUAGGAUCUCAGAUCCGACAUGAUAUCCACUUCGAAUGACUAUUUCCCCGUCCACCAUGACUGUAGAGGAAAUCACACAGAAGAGAAGAGCAAGCACUAGAUUUGGUUUAUUCAGAAAAAGAAAAUCACCUACUAUAAACACAAUACCGAUUGGGCCUCUCUCCUCUCCCUUCUGGCAGCCGAAGCUAUGCAAGAAGGGAGAUAAAGAGGCCAAAGAUGAGGUGGUCGAGGGGACACGCGGGGGGGGGGCUCAGUGGAAGAUGUGGAGGUCAGCAAAGCGCCAAAUGACAUAGUGGCAAAUCUCAUCUCGGUUUUUUUAUUUUUGACCUACCACUUGAAAAUAGAGUCUACGUGAGGUGGAGAAGAACCUACGAUACUUAAAAUGGUGCACGUUAAUAAAAAAGCAUUUCAAUCACACGACACAUCACCUCCGACAUGUGGGGUGGAAGAAACGAAAGAAACACAUCAUUACAAAAAAACCUACUAGAACUAGUUAGCCAAUGGAGUUGCAAUAUUCUGUACCAAUGGAGAGUUGUACCCUGGAUGAUGUUCCACGAGACUUGCAAUACCCUUAGAAUUCUAUGCUACAAUUGAUUUCGACCAUCUCAAGUUGUGAAGCUCCUUCACCGAUAUUGCAACCACUCUCUACAAUAAUCGUCCGGUCGACGAUGUCGAAAACUCCACGGACAAUUAUGGAUUGGCACCCAAGCCAACUAGAUGAGAGCUAUUCUAUCGUCACAUAAAAUUUCCCCUAGGAAUCUUCGUAUAGAGUCCAUUUUGAGCUUACAUCGACCAUAAAGUCAAGCCAACUAGUUUUCAGCUUCAUCUAUUAUGUAUUACAUUGACCUGGUUAUUUAUUUUGAAUUGAAUUCUUCACUCAAUCCAGUAUGAACUUACCUUUCCAGUCGUUCUCAUCUAGGUCGGCUUCUAUUUCUUGCAUGAAUUGACUGUAUACCUCAAGAAACAUGGUUGAGGCAUAGACAUAAUAAUGUGUGUUGGUGCAAAGCUCUCCACCAUAGGAACUAGGAAGAGUGGGUCUUCUCUUGUAUUAUCGUUGCAUUGAUCCAAAAUCACUAGCACCCAAUAUCUGCCAAUGUGUUUUGGUGCUAGUUCUAAGGGCGAGUUUGAAACCUUAGGCAUAUCAGCUCGAAGUUCUCCUGCCUCUGUACUCUGUCGUGGUUCUAAGUCUGAUAGUAGAAUGGGGGUAGGUAUGAGGAGGCAAGAUCCUAGCUACGGUGAAGUUGUGCACGCAAAAUUUACGAGUCCAGGCCCUUCUCAGAGGAAGUAACAUCCCUACGUCUCGAUGCCCAGAGGUUGGUCGAUUGGAUUAUGCGUGAAGUUACAUGGGGUGCAAACCCUUGUCCUAGAGGAGGGGGUGGCUUAUAUAGACUGUGCCAGGACCCCAACCAUCUCCCGUUACAUAGAGUUUAAUGUACAUAAAGAGGGGACGUUACUGGUAACGUCAGCAUUAAAGUGAUAUAAAUGAUCUUUAAGACUACGGAGUGAACGCCUGACUGUUUCCAUCUAGAGUGACCUUAGAUCUUCCGUACUCCGAGUGGUUUCUGAUAUGGUCGAAUGAUUAUAUCCUGGUCGAAUAGAAUUGGGUUGUCCGAGUGGAACUCGUGGUCGAGUGAGUUGCAUCCUGAGGUGAUUUCAGUUGGUAGAAUUUACUGUCCUUUGAAUGUCUUCGAUUGUAGGGCAGUGUCCUUGGAAAGGGUGCUUAGAUCAGGUCUAUUGCCCUACCCUAGGUACAUGUCAUCAUCAUUAGCCCCCGAAUGGUUCUGGGUCCGAGUGGAGAUGGAGUUGAAGAUGGUUCCGACUCAAUGUUCAUGCUUCGGAAACAUUUUACUUGAAUUGGUGAACCAUGCAAAAAAAGCUGACGUCAUUUCCAGUCACCUUGAGCCAUUCAAAGGUUGCCAAAUGAACUUUAGCUGAUAAGCUUCGAAUGUUGAUAUGGCAUAAAAUCUUCGGUGUGAUCGACUGCGCUGCCGUUCCCGGAUCUCGUGGGAUUCGAAAUCUGAUGAAGUGCGCGGGACGGAGAGAGCCGCAGUAAGCGGGCGGAUUAGGCAGGGGCGCCUCGAUUCUCAUGCCACCUUUUUCGCCACGUAUCGAGCGCGCGACUGUUGCAGGAUUUGACAGGAUUGCCUGGGUCCACAAGUUAGUCACUCGGGGAAUAGGACCAUAUAAGGCGUCCGGGCCGGUGUCUUUGCACAGUGCACCCCAUUUUCCCCCUUCUUCCUCUGCUUCUCGACUGCAUCCGCCUCUGCACAGUCCGAGCUCAACCCGCUGCAAUGGGGAAGGACAAGACGGCGGCUCUGGAGCGCGCGAAGAAGGCGACGGUGAAGGCGAAGGGGAAGAAGACAAGCCGGGUAGGGUCGUCGUCGAGAACUGGCCUGCCGCCUGGCUGGAUCCAGGGCAACUAGAUCCGGUCGAUGAUCCAGUGAGAAGAUACGGAGGAUCUGGCUGAGGGGGGACUGAUUCCCUACGAUUCUUGGCGGCUUUCGGAGGACGAGACCGAGCCGCGACCGCAGGAGGGUGAGUGUGUCCUUCUUGCGACCCACGUCGACCUCGGUUUUCUCUUUGCCUCCCUAUCCUUUCUUGCGGGGUUUUCUAAACUUUUUUGGAGCCCAACUUCAUCACUUUUUUCCCAACACCAUCACAUACCUUGCUGCAUACGUGUCCAUGUGUGAGAACUUUCUAGGCUGUCAACCGCACUAGGGUCUCUUCAAACACAUUUUCACCUGUCAUUCUCAGUCUGUAAAAAAGGCCAAUCCGAGUGAUGAGAGGACACACGUGAUCCAGAUGUGUGGAGGUCUAGGGAUCCAGAUGAGGAAUAAAAGCACUUUCCCUACUAUGAUUCUUCCCGAGUCAGUCAGAGGGUGGCAGUCGACCUUGUUCUAUUGUAAGGACCAACCGACCCCGGGUCAGUCGACUGGCCUUCCCGCGUUUUCCAUAGGACGAGUUGAGAAGCCUUCUCCCUUGAGAGUGACUCCAGCUGAGAAAGUGGAGGUGAAUAUGUUGGUUGAGUGAGUAGUCCAACUUGUCCGUGACGGUGUGACUGGCAUGGACUUUCUAUUGUCGGAUGUGGGGUUCCGGCAAACCCUUAAGGUUCAAACACUGGGGUGCGCGCGAAGUCUUUCCCUCCUACCGAUCUACGCUCUAGCUCGCUAAGAUCUUGCGGACGAACUCGAUGAACUCACAACACAGAAAGACACGGGGUUUAUACUGGUUCGGGCCACCGUUGUGGUGUAAUACCCUACUCCAGUGUGGUGGCGGUGGAUUGCCUCUUGGGAUGAUGGUAAACAAUACAAGGGAAGAACAGCCUCCUGAGGUUGAGGUGUUCUUGUGCUUUCGGACUUGUGUGUACGUAUCUCUGGGUCUGAUGAGAUCCCUCUUCUCUACUAUGGUGGCUAGUCCUAUUUAUAGAGGCCCUGGUCCUCUUCCCAAAUAUCGAGCGGGAUGGGAGCCAACAACGGGGGCAACUUUGAAAGGGGCAGCUAGUACGAGCCAUCUUGACAAAAGUAUUCUUCGCCUACACAAAGCUCUGGUGGUGACGUCGUCUUGGGCUCCACGAUGACCUUCGUCUUGCAGUCCAUGGUCUUGGUCUUGUUGCACCGAAAUGGCAACCUUUGCCUAAUGCCUCGGUACUCCGCGGCUGCGCUUGCCCCCUUUGCACCAAAGAGGAAACAAGGACGUUGCGCGCGCUGGCGCCCGCCUGGUGUCGAUCGUCAUGGCUCACGUCACGAGAGCCUCGUGAGGUUUGCCCUGCCUUGAUAUCUCCGCUCCUCGUGAGCCUGCCUAGCUAGGACACUCCAGAGGAGGUCUUGCGUCGUCCGCCUUGCGAGGCCUAGCCCCCUCGCGAGGGUCUUGGGUGCCUUGUUGGUGAAGAUGGGCCAUAUGGCCUGCUGCUUGGCCACGCCGCGGGCCGCAGGCAGGCAAGUCUGGGGACCCCCAUUCCCAGAAUGCCGACAGUAGCCCCCGGGCCCAAGGUGUACUCGGGCUUGACUUCGUGGCGAAGCGAAGGGUCAAGUUCGAAGCACCGCGGGCCCCAAAAGCAUGUGGCCUCGGUUGACGCGUGGCGGUCCAUAGGUCGUGGGCGCCUCCACUUCCCCACGCUGCCUCGACGACUGCACAACUUGACAAGUCCCUGCGACAUGCAAGGGAACCCAUCAUGACCUGCGAUCGUGGGAGACGCCGGUUGGCCUUCUCUUGCUAUAAAUGGGGAGGGGGCAGAGCCCCCGUUGCCCAUCUCUUCCUCGCUUGUUCGCUUCUUCUUUGCUUCAUUGCUUGUAGUGCCUCCGAUGGCGCCACGAAGGAAGUUCUCUGCCGCCGAGAAGGGGAAGGCCCCUCACGAGGGCCCGGUUCCCCGGCGCCCAAGCGUGGUCGCGGCCGUCCGUGCAAGCACGCUGCGACCCCCACCGUGGCCCACCGUCGAGGCGGCGCCGCGGCAUGCGGAGGGGACCGUCCCAACCAAGGCGGUCCAGCUAACGAGGGGAGGCGCGCGAUGGUGGAGCGGCCUCCCCGCCCGCACUUCCAUUCAGCGGAGGUGUCGCCGGAGUUCGUUGUCUGGUCGGAGAACCCGGCCGUCAACUGGCUCCAGCUUCCGCGCUUCUUUGUCGAUGAACUGUCGGCCCCUGGUCCAGGCGGGCUCUGGUUGCAGGCGGAUGGUUGCUGCAGCAAGGCCUCCUGGGUCGCGGUCGAGACUUCCGCCGCGGGCAACAUAGCCUUGGCCCGUGACUGGCAGACGUUCGCCCGCGCGCACGGCCUGGGCAGGCGGUGCACGUUCCACUUCAAGUAUGACGGUGGGUCGACCCUCUAUGUGAGGGUGUUCGGGGAAGAUGGUCGCCGCGCCGGGUGCUGCCCCGAGACGAACGACGGUGAGGAGGUGCUCGGCCUUGGUGACGGUCGUGACGAGGAUGAGGGCGAGCCUGCCCUCGGCGGCGACCGCGUCUCUUCCAGCUACGGCGGCUCUUCCUCUAGUGACAGCCCCAGCAGCGGUGGCUACGACCAGCCGCCGCACCGCCGCGCCCGCUUCGAAGGAGGCAGCGGGUCAUCUCGUCGCCGCGCCUUCAUGAAGCGCGAGGAGGGGUCUGGCUAGGCUCCGGGAGUCGCUAAGGGCCUGCCUCCGCGGAUUGCUGAAACACCGCUUUGUUUAGCUUUUUCCUUUUUUUCCUGCAUCAGAAAAUGAAACUAGUAUGGGCCCAGAGGGGCGUGUAUCGAACUGUGGUUCUUAGUUAAUGCAACAUGCGUGUUAUUCCCAUGGCGUGUUGUUAUUUUGCGCAAAGAUAACCUAACCUGGCGCGUUUGGGAUGCCCUUUCCUUCACGAGAUGUCUACGUUUGCUCAGAAACUGCAAAAAAAU
rnacentral:lncRNA from 1 species